rnacentral:lncRNA from 1 species
AUGGAAAGUGAUGGAAUGCCUCUGGAUACUCCAGGUUUGUCAUUGGUAACCAGGUGCAGUAACACAUGAAAAGUCAAACAAACAUUGUCCCACAGCAACAAUCGCUACAGAAGUGACAUUUAUUGACAUUCUGCUGUAUUUACAGGUUGAACAUAGUAAAACUCCAAAGUGAAUGACCACUUGGCAGAAAGCACAGGAGUGCACAUUAAAUCUACAUUUCCAACGCAUCAGAGUCUCUGCUAACACAAAUUAUAAAAGCAAGAAUUACAGGUAUGUUAGGAAUUGUCUCAAAAGUCCCAAGCCAAAGAAAAAAGAAAGGCCUUUGUUUUGCAAGAUGGUUUUUAUACAAAGUUGCAACAUGAUCUUUCAGUUUUACACUACAGACUCGUUCUGUGAAAACCCCUGGAGAGCCCAAACAGUUGGUGGUGCGAAAGGAAAGGAUACUACAACACCGAGAAUAAAGACUGUUAAAAGUUAAUACUUGUGCCACCUCUAAAUUCCCAAUGCCACCUCUGAGUCUGGACUGCAGCAAGCUCUGUUCCUCCACAGGCCCCCAGUGCUGGGAUUGCAGGAGCACAGCCACCCUGCACUGCCAGCUCAGCUCCAGAGCCACCCCCAACAGCACAUGGGGACAGGGAUGGACAGGGAUGGACACAGGGACAGGGAUGGACAGGGAUGGACAGGGAUGGACAGGGAUGGACAGGGAUGGACAGGAGAGGACACAGAGCACACGGAGAUACAUGGGCUGUACAGGACACAGAGCACACACAGACUGUCCAGGACAGGGUGACACUGCACAGGACACAGUGUCACACCCUGCACAGGACAGUGUCAAACAGCACAGGACAGUGUCACACCCUGCUCAGCACAGGCACAGCUCCCAGGCUGGAGGAGGAACUAAAGCAAGCCUGGCCCCUGCUGGCCCUGCUUUGGCUCCCGCUGCCCAAGCACCACAAACUCGGGCUGAACGCCUUCAUCAGCACGCCACAGACUCACUGCAAGAGCUGCUUCAAACAUUAGCCACUAAUGAGUCAACAAUUACAGAAUUCUGCGUUAAUUAUUAA